UCCAAAAUGGGACCGAAUCCAAUCUGUUCAGGCUUAUAACUUUUGCCUAUAAACCCUAAAUGCAUUCCUGCAAAUGGUGCACCUUUACUUUGUCUCCGCCGCCUAACUAAGAAGAAAAAAUGGCUGAUCAACAGUAUUGUACCUCUCGUGUUCGGCCUGAACAUGAUCCCAUGGCUAUGGAGGUUCAGUCAAUGUCUCUUGGUUCUUGAAGAAGCAAGUUAGUGCUACACGAAGUGUUGGCCAUAAUUUCUCAGGAAUCAAGAGGAGACUUCUCCCACAGUGAAAUGAUAUUCUAACUUGCUCAAAAGAUUGUACUUCUGAUAGUGAUUGCACUGACUGCUGGUUUUGUUGUCGAUUUGAUGUGUCUAUUAUAUCAUGUGUAUUUUAGGGUAGUCGCAAAUAGAACAUCCAUUUAAUUGCGACGAACUUUGCAACACAUCCCUGUUAUUCAUUUGUGUCUCCGUUUGAUUCU